UGAGGAAUAUUGGUCAAUGGGCGGAAGCCUGAACCAGCCAAGUAGCGUGCAGGAUGACGGCCCUAUGGGUUGUAAACUGCUUUUACAGGGGAAUAAAAAGGAACACGUGUGUUCUGUUGCAUGUACCCUGGGAAUAAGGACCGGCUAAUUCCGUGCCAGCAGCCGCGGUAAUACGGAAGGUCCUGGUGUUAUCCGGAUUUAUUGGGUUUAAAGGGAGCGUAGGCCGUAGAUUAAGUGUGUUGUGAAAUGUAGGCGCCCAACGUCUGCCUUGCAGCGCAAACUGGUUUACUUGAGUACGCGCAACGCAGGCGGAAUUCGUCGUGUAGCGGUGAAAUGCUUAGAUAUGACGAAGAACUCCUAUUGCGAAGGCAGCUUGCGGGAGCGUUACUGACGCUGAAGCUCGAAAGUGCGGGUAUCGAACAGGAUUAGAUACCCUGGUAGUCCGCACGGUAAACGAUGGAUGCCCGUUUUUGGCUUAUUUUAGCCAGAGACCAAGCGAAAGCAUUAAGCAUCCCACCUGGGGAGUACGCCGGCAACGGUG
rnacentral:rRNA from 1 species